rnacentral:lncRNA from 1 species
GGACCUAAUUGAAGGACUUAUGAAAGUGUGGGAGGCAAAUGGGACUGAAAUUGCAGUUCUGAACAAAUGUUCAUCUUCUCCAACGAGCUAAUACCAGUUAGCAUUUCAGCAACCAGAAAUCUGGUUUCAAUUUCUAACCAUUUCAACGAACAAUGAGACUCUCAAUACUCCCUCUCAUAACAUCAAUUCGAAUUCAAGCAUAAAGACAUGAAAAAAACUAAUCUAGUUAAAGGACUAUUCAUGCUUAUUAAAAGAUGACUCAAAUCUAAAAGGGAGAAACAAACGCACUUUUUCCAAUUUUCGGGUCAUAUCAGAACAAGGGGGACUUGGGGGGUUCAUAUGCAAUAAAAGCAGGGACCUAAUUGAAGGACUUAUGAAAGUGUGGGAGGCAAAUGGGACUGAAAUUGCAGUUCUGAACAAAUGUUCAUCUUCUCCAACGAGCUAAUACCAGUUAGCAUUUCAGCAACCAGAAAUCUGGUUUCAAUUUCUAACCAUUUCAACGAACAAUGAGACUUUCAAUACUCCCUCUCAUAACAUCAAUUCGAAUUCAAGCAUAAAGACAUGAGACUAAAACAGGAAAGCUACAACGACUCCACACAGCAAAUGUUCCAUUUUCUUCAUACGUAAAGCAAGCGAAAUCAUCUUCAAGUAGAAGGUUCAUUCGGGCAUUUUAACAAACAGCAAAUGGGCAUGAAAAAACUCAACAGAUUUCUGCUCAAAUUACAUUACAAUCGGCCCCAAAAUUAUCAGAAAAACAAAGAAUUCAGUCCAAUCAACAUAUGCAUCAUGUGUAUUCAGAAAUUAAGAUCAACUAACAGAAAAAUUGCAUCAAAUGAUGCCACGGCAGACCCAUUUCAAAGCUUGAGAGAAACUGAAAUUUGAAGAAAAUAACUUACAGGGCUAUAAUUUCUGAAGUCGAAUUGAAUCUGGAGAGGGGGGGUGGCGCUGAUGGUAGACGGCUCUGUGGAGAUGGCAGUAGAAGCCCCUGCUGCUUUGAUGGCUACGGUGGCAGCGACGGCAGUGGGAGUUGAAAGGCGGCGGCAGAGGUGGAGAGUAGCAGACAGCAACAGCGACGAGUGCGGCCUGGAGGUGGCUUGGGCAGGCGGUUGGCUGCUUGUUGGUCGCGCCGGAGAAGAAAGGUGGCGCACGAGGUGGAGGUGCCGUGGCGGGGCUCGGAUUGCGGCGGACCUCCUGGUCUUUGUUUCCUCACUUUUCGUUUAGUUCUUUCGCCUCUGCCCAAAAUUCCUCCUCUAAAUUCCAGAUUUCGGCCGCCAGUUUCUUCUUUUUUUUAGUUCCGUUUCUUGCUCUUCCUAAGAACAUUGGUUUCAACUCUUGAAUUAAUUGAGGUUGAUUGUGUGGAACAAAGUUUUUAAAAGGAAGGAAACGUGAGAAGGCAGAUUAGCCUUGGAACAUUUCUUGAACUUCAGUUAUUUUAAUGACUGCCUUCCCGUGGGAUUUUUUGCAUGAAACUUGGUAGAAAUGUUGUUCACACAUGGAAAAUUUAGUGUACCAAGUUUGGUGUAUUUCAAAUGCCAAAUCAAUGGCCAAAUGAUACUUCAAAGAUAGCCUUUCAAACCUAGGAAAAUGACAGAACCGUUUAUAAAAUGCGACCAACUUUGAACUGAUGUAUCUCGACACCCAAAACUCCAAAUUUAUUUCUGCUUGUUGUGUUUGAAACCUUGUUUAGAACUCUUAUCAUAGUACGAAUUUCAGAGGCUAGUUCACUUUCUGUGAAUUUUACCAAAUUUUCAAAGUUUGCCAAAAAAAUAAGACUAAAACUGUCAUGUAGUGCGAAUCAGCCACUUUAAGCUGAAAUUUGAGUGUUUUCCAUUUAGAAUCUUGGAAAAGUGUCUAACUUUUAGUACUUUGGAACUAGUUUCUAACGGUAUCAAGUUUUCCAAUUUUGGACCUACGGAGUGUAAGAUAUGAUGAUUUUUCAAAAAUUGCUCCCAUAAACUGAAAUUUUUGAACUUGAAGAGAAUUGAGUUUUUAGAAACUCUUCAUUACCCUUCGAUAUUAAAUGACUAUUUUAGACUUAAUUUCUUGAGGGAAAACAGUUUUUCCUUGCAUUAUUAAACCCCACUUUUGAGUCUCGAUUUACGAGUAAUUAAGGCUCUUUUUCAUGAUAUUUUCUUAAAUUGUACAAGUGUACAAUCUCCUUUGUUAACUAGGGGUUAUAAGCGAUAGUGUAUGAUAGUUAAUUAUUAUUUGCUCAGGCACUCAAGGAGACCUUCAAGAGGAUCUCACAGUGGACGCCUAAAACCCUUACUUGGACAUUACUUCCUUGUUUUUAAUUGAUGUGUGUCAAGUGCAUGUUUUGUUGCAAUUAUGUGAAUUGCUCCUUAUGGACUGAAAAAUUUAUAACUGCUGAGUUGAGUGUGUACUUUAUCGCACUCAUUCUUAUUUAAAUGAAUUGAAAUUUAAUUGCAUGAAUUGAAUUGAAUUACCUGAACUAAAUUGAACUGAAUUAUAUGCUAUGGCUGCAUAUGUCGUUGGAGUGAAUCUCCUCGAUCCAUAACUGAAUUGCAAACAUAUCGUUGGAGUGAAUCUCCUCGAUACACAACUGAACUGGGUGUAGACACCAAAUUUUUAGUGUAGUUUUAUUUACUAUUACUUUUAUUUUUUAUGUUAGUUUUUAUUUACUUUUAGUCUUCAAUUUUUUAAGUCAUUUUAGCCUAGAAUUUAUCAGAAAAAAAGAAAAUCAUUCACAAAAAUAUGCUUUAGUUAUUUUAGAUUCAAGUUCAUUGUUAUUUAAUUAAAAAAAAGAAGAAAAAAGGAAAAUCAUCACUCAAAAAAAAAAUCUUAAAAAUCUUAGCAUUUUUAUCUUUUAUUCCUAGUUUUGUUUCAUUGCAUCCGAUUUUUACUUAAAUUGUCAUUAAUUAAAUGAUUCUUUCAAAAAAAAAA